AUUAGAGUUUGAUCCUGGCUCAGAUUGAACGCUGGCGGUAUGCUUAAGACAUGCAAGUCGAACGGAAUCUUCGGAUUCAGUGGCGGACGGGUGAGUAACACGUGGGAAUCUACUGAGUAGUGGGGGACAGCCCGGCGAAAGCCGGAUUAAUACCGCAUACGCCCUACGGGGGAAAGGCGCAAGCCGCUAUUUAAUGAGCCCGCGUAAGAUUAGCUAGUUGGUAAGGUAAGGGCUUACCAAGGCGACGAUCUUUAGCUGGUCUGAGAGGAUGGCCAGCCACAUCGGGACUGAGACACGGCCCGGACUCCUACGGGAGGCAGCAGUCGGGAAUAUUGGACAAUGGGCGCAAGCCUGAUCCAGCAAUACCGCGUGUGUGAAGAAGGCCUGCGGGUUGUAAAGCACUUUCAGUUGGGAAGAUAAUGACGUUACCAACAGAAGAAGCACCGGCUAACUCCGUGCCAGCAGCCGCGGUAAUAAU
rnacentral:rRNA from 1 species